GACGAACGCUGGCGGCGUGCCUAAUACAUGCAAGUCGAACGAGAGCGACCGGUGCUUGCACUGGUCAAUCUAGUGGCGAACGGGUGAGUAACACGUGGGUAACCUGCCCAUCAGAGGGGGAUAACAUCCGGAAACGGAUGCUAAAACCGCAUAGGUCUUCGAGCCGCAUGGCUUGAAGAGGAAAAGAGGCGCAAGCUUCUGCUGAUGGAUGGACCCGCGGUGCAUUGGCUAGUUGGUGAGGUAACGGCUCACCAAGGCCGUGAUGCAUAGCCGACCUGAGAGAGUGAUCGGCCACAUUGGGACUGAGACACGGCCCAAACUCCUACGGGAGGCAGCAGUAGGGAAUCUUCCGCAAUGGACGCAAGUCUGACGGAGCAACGCCGCGUGAGUGAAGAAGGUUUUCGGAUCGUAAAACUCUGUUGUUAGAGAAGAACAAGUGCUAGAGUAACUGUUAGCGCCUUGACGGUAUCUAACCAGAAAGCCACGGCUAACUACGUG
rnacentral:rRNA from 1 species